rnacentral:misc_RNA from 1 species
AAAAGAAAUCUUUAAUCUCUUUUUGAGGUUAAGGGAUAUGGGUAUUCCGCUAAUAAUUAUUAGCGGUAACCUGAAAUUAAUGGUAGUCUUCAUCUAGUCGAGACGCGUAAUAAUAUUAUUUCGUGAAACGGUUAAUGAGCUACCGAGUUUUAAUAACUUUAACAGAGAAGAUUAAAACAAAUAAUUUUG